AGAUCGGGGCAUCGCUACAUAGCGUAUAUUAAAGUUGUUGCAGUUAAAAAGCUCGUAGUUGAAUUUCGGGAUUGACACAUCGGUCGUGCCUUAAGGGGUAUGAACUGGUGUAGUCAAUUUCUCACCUUCUGGAGAACCGCGAUGCCCUUAAUUGGGUGUCACGGGGAACCAGGACCUUUACUUUGAAAAAAUUAGAGUGUUUAAAGCAGGCAUUUUGCUUGAAUACAUUAGCAUGGAAUAAUAAAAUAGGACGGCAUGAUUCUAUUUUGUUGGUUUCUAGGAUCACCGUAAUGAUUAAUAGGGAUAGUUGGGGGCAUUAGUAUUCAAUUGUCAGAGGUGAAAUUCUUGGAUUUAUUGAAGACUAACUACUGCGAAAGCAUUUGCCAAGGAUGUUUUCAUUAAUCAAGAACGAAAGUUAGGGGAUCGAAGACGAUCAGAUACCGUCGUAGUCUUAACCAUAAACUAUGCCGACUAGGAAUCAGACGAUGUUAAUUUUUUAAUGACUCGUUCGGCGCUAGGGGGUACCAUCCG
rnacentral:rRNA from 1 species